rnacentral:lncRNA from 13 species
CAGAAAUAAUCUUGUUUUUAGGAUUUAUACUAGAGUCCUCAGAUGUAGAUCAAUAAAGAAAUUAACAUGGCACUUUAAGCACAAAUAUACGUGUAUUUUAGAAAGGAGUGGCAGUCCUUACCUCACGGAAGCUUGUUUUUUCUCUUUGUAGAUGGAUGUCACCAGUGGGUUGUGCUGGAACUUCACCAACAAGGGAUUUCCAUAGAAGUGCUUGACAAGCAACACAGCCCCUUUGUGCUCUUUUCAAUACUUGCUCUGAGAGAAGAAACCGCCUGUGGUUUGGUGACCCAUGGUACUGUUUGGUUAGGAGAUGUGUGCGGAGAGAGAAGCAAGGAGGACAGAAUGUCAAUACAACUGUGACCAUGGCUGUGAUCAUGAUAGCCACUGAGAACGCUGCCAGUGCUCAGGCUGCUGUUAGAAACAACGCCUUGCUGGAGGGAAUCUACCUCUGCUUUCAAUAAUGUAUAUGGUUUAAGAGCAUUUUAUUUUGGAACACAAAUAAAUUGGUGCGAAGCUGAGACA